UGAAAGAUGCUUUGGGAGCCAGCAUGCGCCAAACUGGAGUCCUUUAAAAGGACCAAAUCCCGGAUAUUUCACUCUGUUCUCACCAGGGACUCUGUGCGAGCAAUUAUGAAGGAACUCAGUAAUUAGCUACACAGCGGACCAAACGCAGCUGGGGAGGAAUCUGGAAAGCCUGAGUCAUGCUGAGGUCACCGUGCACGGCCUGAGACACGGGUGGGCGUCGCCUCCCCGGCCAGGAGACCAGCCCAGGACUGCUGCAGCCGUGGCUCUGCCUGUGGCGGGAGCUGGGGCUGGGGGUCAGCCCGGAGCAGGGCGCGGGUUCCCCGCAGGAGCCGGGACUUUGGAGCUGACCGUGUGUGAGCCCCGGGCAGCCACCCAGUUCACCCAAGGAGCGUUUUCUGCGGACGUGGCACACAUCUUGGAGAAACAGAGAACCCUGGGUGGCAUCGCUUGUGAAAAGGGACAGGAGUUGGACAGCCCAGGGAGCUAGUUUUAGUCAUUUUCAUCACUACUCUGCUAUUUCAACAUCAGUUUCCAUCGUUCUCCAAAAUAUUGCUUUGAACCAAUGUCAAAAUAAACAAGUCCAGCAGCGUCCACGCCGUGGGACCCCAGGAUGCCUGCGUGGGCUCGGUGAGUGCUGCCUCGUGCUCGCCCCUUGCUCUCGGAACCAGUGUGUGAGACGGUAGGCACCACAGUACGGGUGCCCCCGGGCACGGGACAGAAAUCAUGUUGACACACAGAAGCUGGGCGCCUUAUUCAGUCUUUGUUUCAUUAACUUAAAACAACAUGUAUUUAUUUAUUUGAGACAGAGGGAGCUCCCAGCUGAUGGUUUAUUCUGCACAUGUCCACGUUAGCACCAGGUGAGCCCGAGAGAAGCUGGUAGCUGGGAACCCGAUUCAGGCCCCCGCAGGAGUGGCCGGGACCUAAGAAGCCUGCGCCAGCAGGAAGCCGGCACUGGGAGAGGGGCUGGCGCUGGAGCCCAGGCAAGCUGACAUGGGGUGCGGGCAUCUCACCAUUGGGCCCAAUGCCCGCCCCACACUGGGCUUCGGUCCUGCGUUAGGCAACGUUGAUAUCAAACGCCGUAUAACCAAGGAGCUGGGCUUAUGUUUAAUAGCCACACGUGCGCAGACGAAGGCAGCUCAGCACUUCAGUUGUUCACAAGUUGGAAAUCCUUCAGCGAAAGCCUGCUAACCCCAAUCCCCUCUCCUCACAGCUCAUGAGGCCCUAGUCUGCCAGCUAAGGCCACCGCUCGUUCUGUCCUGACACUGUCCGCGCUUGGUGUCAAGCGACGAGGCGAGGGCUGUGCCGACCCCUGCCACUCAGCGCUGCGUUUGGGACUUUUGUCCAUGCCUAUAGGGUGGAGCUCUCCCCUGGAAAGCAGCUCAGGCGAAAGGUGCUGGAACUCAUGGACCUGCUCCUGCUGCUGUGCCCGGCCUGUGUCUCCGUCUCCGCCGGGGCUGCAGCAGGUGUGGGCGCAGGCGUGUGUGUCUCCUGCCGUGGCCUGGAUGGGGCUGUGCGGUCUGAGGCAGCAGGUGGUGAGGGGCCUCCGACCGCAGCAGCACAGCGGACCAGGAGCUCAGCCGCUGCCACCUGAAGCCCACUGCCCUGUGUGUCCCAGGCCGCUCCUGCGGGAAGCCUGGGUGCACGGGAAGACUGACGCAGAGCCAAGCCCCCGGGAUCCUCUUCCAAACACUCUGCAUGAGUGACUUGAGGCCGAAUCCAUGGCUGAGCAGCCUCAGUGCGAGCCUAUCCCAGACAGGUGCUCAUGUGAGUAUGGACUUACUUUGUCUGAGGCUGUGGGCACAUUCAGCUUUAAAACCUGACACCAGUUUUCUAGAAUAAGGCCCGAAGUCACGUCAAGGAGCCGACGAGCAUUUCUGGCCCACCACACCUGUGCAGUGACUGGACGUUGCCAUCAUGUGAAUUGUAGCUUUCCAGGCGACGUGCGAUCGCAGCAUGUGAUUACAGACACCAUGCUGUUACAACUGUUACAACUGCAGACCUUUUGCAAAGAUAUAUGCUCCUCCACAAGUUAUUUGGGGUAAUGAUUUGAAGGAGGAACCCGUUUCAUAUUUUUUUCUGUGAGUAUCCAAAUGGCCAGAGCUUUGCCUGUUCCACAAAUCGGUUCUCGGAUGUGCACGGGUGUGCUUCUGUGGUUUCUGUUUUUGUCGGAGCAUUUGCCUUUCUUCAUGCUAACACCACACCACAGUGGGGACUGCGUCUCUAUAAUGACUGCUGACUCCUAGCAGAGUAAGUCUUUCAUCUUGUUUUGAUUAAGAUAUUCUUGGAUCUUUGAAUUUUCAUAUAUAUUUUAUAGUUGUCUUAUCCAAUUGCAUAGGACAAAUACUGUAUGGUGUUGAUCGAGAUUAUAUAGAACCUACAGCUUAAUCCAUGAACAUGGUAUAUCCUCUGUGGUUUGCCUUUGUAACGUUUUUCUUCAUGUGUUUGUGCUCUGAGCACUUGUACCUUGCUCACUGGAUUCUUUCCAACUGAAAAUUUUGAUAAUACAGUAAAUACCACCAUUGAAAUUUC